UUGAUGCUUUAUCCUCAACGCCCUGCUAACCUGAGCACUCGGACACAAGAAGAAGGGCAGAGGACUGCUCAGAGGCUAGGAUGCCAUUUCCCAAAACAUUAGGCAGUUCUUUCUGGCAAUAGUUAAUAGUUACUAGAGACCAUGUUUGUUAAAGUUUAGAACAUCCAUGUGAGAAACAAACAUUCUUCUCACGGACAUUGAGUUGACUCUCAUGCACUAAGUAUUCUUAAGAAUUUUCCAAAUUUCCAUUCAUUCUGGGUGCUUAAUUUGAAUUUGGGUUUGCUCAGCUUGUCUGUCCAUCCAGCCUUUGAUAUUGGAAAGGCUGCUGGUGAAGACAUUACUCUCCAAUAGAGACUUAUGAGGUCACUUAAUGAUGUCACACAGGUCAAUAUUCCACAGGAGCUGGGUGUCUAUGACUCGGACACUCUCUUAAUAACUCUUGUUUAUAACUUCUCUCUUUUUCACCCCAAGGAAAUCUAAAGAAUAUUUUCAGUCAUGUAGAGUUUCCAAGGCAUUGUCAAGGCAGCAUCUAAUGUUUGGUAGUAGAAUUCAGGAGGAAUUAGUAUAAAACCAGCCAGUAGAAAGAAGAAAAAUAAGAAAAUUAGUGUGGCUGGAAGGAAUGUUUUCUGGGAAUUCCAGAAAUUCCCAUUUUUCCUACCAGUACAUGGUGUAUGUUGUUACACUUGUUCUGUGUCUGGAAUAACACCAGUUAUACUUUUCAGUUAAAUUGCACCUUUCCAUGUAAUUUCACAGAGAAAGAAGACACAGGACACAGGAAUGACGGAAGGAGUGCAAGGACCGAAGGUAGCAGAGUCUGAUCCUGGCAUCUUCACACAACCAUUGCAGAGAAAUACCCGGGAGAAGCUGCAUUGCCAAGUUGAGCACAGCACUGACUGCCUGAGAAGAAAGAGCUUCACCAUGCCCAGUGGAGUUGUCCUGCAUCGACAGUGAUGUAACUGUCCUGAUGAGCCAAACUUUGGCAUUUUUCACUGGAAACAGAGAUCCCAGAACUCCCAUCGUCCUUGCAAAAAGGAUAGCUGCAAUCAGGUUUCACUGGGAUUACAGAAAAACUAAGGAUAUUCCUCUUGCUAGUCAAACCUCUAUGAGAUAAUCUUAACACACAAGCAGCUCUGCUCUAGUAUUAAGUUUCAAACUGUGUCUGUG